CACGAGCUUCUUCUUCUCCUUUCCUCACUCACAACGCCACUGCCGCCACCCUAACCACCGCACCUACCUUCUCUUUCUCCUCCUCUCUUUUAAACACUGAACCAGUGAGCUCUAGCACGCCGGCGCCACCUGUAGUAGCGUCUAUCCCCACCACCGCCGCGCCUCUCUCUCCUUUUAUUCCCACUCAGUUCUGGCUCGCAUAUCUUUUCAGCGCCGCAACCAUCAUCUCCUCCAGUCAAUGCUUCCAGAUAGAAAGAAAGCAAAAAGGAAAAGAUGUUGAAGGUGAAGGUGUAUGCGGACCGCAUGUUCCAACCAUCUCGUGCCGUUCUUAUCUUCUGCAAGUAAUUCAAUUCAACGUUGUAUUUCUUUGCUGGAAUUUGAAUUCUGCUACUACUACUGCUAAUGCUUAAUUUCUCAAU